rnacentral:misc_RNA from 1 species
AAGUCGUAACAAGGUUUCCGUAGGUGAACCUGCGGAAGGAUCAUUAAUGAGUUGGGGUCACUUGUGGCCCAAAUCUCCAACCCCUUGUGUAGUUACUUUAUCUCUCUUGCCUUGGUAUGGUUUAUAUCUGCCGAAGCAACUUCAAAACUCCAAUAAUCACAAUGUCUCAAAAAAAAAAAAAAAAAAAAAAAUAGUUUAAAAAACUUUCAACAACGGAUCUCUUGGUUCUG